CGCAAGAGUGAAACUUAAAGGAAUUGACGGAAAAGCACCACAAGAUGUGGAGCCUGCGGCUUAAUUUGAUUCAACACGGGAAACCUUACCAGGAUCAGGACAUAGUAAGGAUUGACAGAUUCAAGUUCUUUCUUGAUUCUAUGAAUGGUGGUGCAUGGCCGUUGUUGGUUGGUGGAGUGAUCUGUCUGGUUAAUUCGGAUAACGAACGAGACCUCAGCCAUCUAAAUAGCUCUCGCUAACUUUUAGCGUCCAGCCCAGGCUGGGUUGAGCUUCUUAGAGGGACAAUCUGUGUUCAGCAGAUGGAGGAUUGAGGCAAUAACAGGUCAGUGAUGCCCUUAUAUGCUCUGGGCCGCACGCGCGCUACAAUGGCGCUUGCAACAAGUUCCUCGUUCGAAAGAACUUGGCAACCUCGAAUGAGCGUCAAAGUUGGGAUAGAUGAUUGCAAUUGUUCAUCUUGAACAAGGAAUAUCUAGUAAACGCAAGUCAUCAACUUGCAUUGAUUACGUCCCUGCUUUUUGUACACACCGCCCGUCGCUUCUACCGAUUGAAUUGCUGGGUGAAUUGGAUGGAUUGGCCGAGUUCGCUCGACCAAAAAGUCCCAUGAAUCCAGUAAUUUA
rnacentral:rRNA from 1 species